CACAGAGAGCCAAGAACUUUCCAGAGCAUUCAUCAGAAAUGCUUGCUGAACAGCAAACCCCAACUUCACAUAAGGUCCCACCGGAAAACUGCUGACAAAGGCCUGGUUAUGUAAGUGAGGCGGCGGGUAAUUAGCACAACUGCUCCCCAGAAGAAGAGGAAGAAACAGCCCCUCGGGCCCCAGCUCUGUCGUCUAGAAGGAGACUGCGGCAGAGUUCCUGUGUUAGGCCAAGAAUCAGGCCAAUAGGGAGUCUCAAAGGACCAGGAAGAAGUUGGCCAUCAAGGUCUGAGGAGGGGUGGCAGGCAGGUCACCCCCAGCAUUCUGUGUGCCCACCUGCCUCCUGAACUCAGGACCAUCUUCCAGACCUCCUCUGUCCCAGAGCUCCAGGAGACCGAAACUUGCUGCAUGGAUGCAGCAAAAGAUGAUGCCUUCCUCCUAACUAGGAAGGGUGGGUGGCCAGCUCUCCGCCAUGUGGAGUGAGUUACUGCUGGAUAAUAAACUGGUGAGUGCUUCAUAAAGAGACGCUGAAUAAA
rnacentral:lncRNA from 1 species